AGAGCCAAACUUCAGACAAGCGUGUUCUUCAUCCAUAUUGUAAUACAGUGACCUCUCUUUUCUCGCAGAAAUAGAUGCAUGCUUCUGUGAAGGAUGAAAUGUUGGGCAAAAAAACAGCAAUCUCUCCAACUUGUAGAAGGCUUCUCCAUAUCCGUAUUUUUAAUUAGUGCAGCAUGAAGAGGCCAACUGGAAGGCCCUAUGCCAAGUAUCUUGUCGACAGAGGAAUAGGAUGG
rnacentral:lncRNA from 1 species